rnacentral:piRNA from 1 species
UAAUCAACUUCUGAUUUGAACCCAUCUUG